AUUGAACGCUGACGGCAGGCCUAACAAAUGCAAGUCGAACGGAUGAUGAAAGCUUGCUUUUCGAUUCAGCGGCGUACGGGUGAUUAAUGCCUAGGCAUCUGCCUGAUAGUGGGGGAUAACUCGGGGCAACCCCGGCUAAUACCGGAUACGACCUCCGGUAGAAAGUGGGGGCUCUUCCGACUUCAGGCUAACAGAUGAGCCUGGGUCGGAUUAGCUAGUAGGUGGGGUAAUGGCUCACCUAGGCGACGCUCCGUAACUUGUCUGAGAGGAUGAUCAGUCACACUGGAACUGAGAAGCGGUCCAGACUCCUACGGGAGGCAGCAGUGGGGAAUAUUGGACAAUGGGCGAAAGCCUGAUCCAGCCAUGCCGCGUGUGUGAAGAAGGUCUUCGGAUUGUAAAGCACUUUAAGUUGAGAGAAAGGGUAUUCACCUAAUACGUGGGUACUUUGACGUUACCAACAGAAUAAGCACCGGCUAACUCUGUGCCAGCCGCCGCCGUAAGAC
rnacentral:rRNA from 1 species